rnacentral:rRNA from 1 species
AGAGUUUGAUCAUGGCUCAGAUUGAACGCUGGCGGCAGGCCUAACACAUGCAAGUCGAACGGUAACAGGAAGCAGCUUGCUGCUUCGCUGACGAGUGGCGGGACGGGUGAGUAAUGUCUGGGAAACUGCCUGAUGGAGGGGGGAUAACUACUGGAAACGGUGGCUAAUACCGCAUAACGUCGCAAGACCAAAGAGGGGGACCUUCGGGCCUCUUGCCAUCAGAUGUGCCCAGAUGGGAUUAGCUUGUUGGUGAGGUAACGGCUCACCAAGGCGACGAUCCCUAGCUGGUCUGAGAGGAUGACCAGCCACACUGGAACUGAGACACGGUCCAGACUCCUACGGGAGGCAGCAGUGGGGAAUAUUGCACAAUGGGCGCAAGCCUGAUGCAGCCAUGCCGCGUGUAUGAAGAAGGCCUUCGGGUUGUAAAGUACUUUCAGCGGGGAGGAAGGUGUUGUGGUUAAUAACCACAGCAAUUGACGUUACCCGCAGAAGAAAGCACCGGCUAACUCCGUGCCAGCAGCCGCGGUAAUACGGAGGGUGCAAGCGUUAAUCGGAAUUACUGGGCGUAAAGCGCACGCAGGCGGUCUGUCAAGUCGGAUGUGAAAUCCCCGGGCUCAACCUGGGAACUGCAUUCGAAACUGGCAGGCUUGAGUCUUGUAGAGGGGGGGUAGAAUUCCAGGUGUAGCGGUGAAAUGCGUAGAGAUCUGGAGGAAUACCGGUGGCGAAGGCGGCCCCCUGGACAAAGACUGACGCUCAGGUGCGAAAGCGUGGGGAGCAAACAGGAUUAGAUACCCUGGUAGUCCACGCCGUAAACGAUGUCUACUUGGAGGUUGUGCCCUUGAGGCGUGGCUUCCGGAGCUAACGCGUUAAGUAGACCGCCUGGGGGAGUACGGCCGCAAGGUUAAAACUCAAAUGAAUUGACGGGGGCCCGCACAAGCGGUGGAGCAUGUGGUUUAAUUCGAUGCAACGCGAAGAACCUUACCUGGUCUUGACAUCCACAGAACUUUCCAGAGAUGGAUUGGUGCCUUCGGGAACUGUGAGACAGGUGCUGCAUGGCUGUCGUCAGCUCGUGUUGUGAAAUGUUGGGUUAAGUCCCGCAACGAGCGCAACCCUUAUCCUUUGUUGCCAGCGGUUAGGCCGGGAACUCAAAGGAGACUGCCAGUGAUAAACUGGAGGAAGGUGGGGAUGACGUCAAGUCAUCAUGGCCCUUACGACCAGGGCUACACACGUGCUACAAUGGCGCAUACAAAGAGAAGCGACCUCGCGAGAGCAAGCGGACCUCAUAAAGUGCGUCGUAGUCCGGAUUGGAGUCUGCAACUCGACUCCAUGAAGUCGGAAUCGCUAGUAAUCGUGGAUCAGAAUGCCACGGUGAAUACGUUCCCGGGCCUUGUACACCACCGCCCGUCACACCAUGGGAGUGGGUUGCAAAAGAAGUAGGUAGCUUAACCUUCGGGAGGGCGCUUACCACUUUGUGAUUCAUGACUGGGGUGAAGUCGUAACAAGGUAACCGUAGGGGAACCUGCGGUUGGAUCACCU